CCUACGGGAGGCAGCAGUGGGGAAUAUUGGGCAAUGGGCGCAAGCCUGACCCAGCAACGCCGCGUGAAGGCAGAAGGCUUUCGGGUUUUAAACUUCUUUUAAGAGGGAAGAGCAGAAGACGGUACCUCUUGAAUAAGCCACGGCUAACUACGUGCCACCAGCCGCGGUAAUUCGUAGGUGGCAAGCGUUCUCCGGAUUUACUGGGUGUAAAGGGCUUGCAGCCGGGAAGACAAGUCAGAUGUGAAAUCCCGCGGCUCAACCGCGGAACUGCAUUUGAAACUGUUUUUCUUGAGUACCGGAGAGGUCAUCGGAAUUCCUUGUGUAGCGGUGAAAUGCGUAGAUAUAAGGAAGAACACCAGGGGCGAAGGCGGAUGACUGGACGGCAACUGACGGUGAGGCGCGAAAGCGUGGGGAGCAAACAGGAUUAGAUACCCGUGUAGUC
rnacentral:rRNA from 1 species